AGUGAACGCUGGCGGUAGGCCUAACACAUGCAAGUCGAACGGCAGCACAGGAGAGCUUGCUCUCUGGGUGGCGAGUGGCGGACGGGUGAGGAAUACAUCGGAAUCUACUCUGUCGUGGGGGAUAACGUAGGGAAACUUACGCUAAUGCCGCAUACGACCUACGGGUGAAAGCAGGGGACCUUCGGGCCUUGCGCGAUUGAAUGAGUCGAUGUCGGAUUAGCUAGUUGGCGGGGUAAAGGCCCACCAAGGCGACGAUCCGUAGCUGGUCUGAGAGGAUGAUCAGCCACACUGGAACUGAGACACGGUCCAGACUCCUACGGGAGGCAGCAGUGGGGAAUAUUGGACAAUGGGCGCAAGCCUGAUCCAGCCGUACCGCGUGGGUGAAGAAGGCCUUCGGGUUGUAAAGCCCUUUUGUUGGGAAAGAAAUCCAGCUGGCUAAUACCCGGUUGGGAUGACGGUACCCAAAGAAUAAGCACCGGCUAACUUCGUGCCAGCCGCCGCCGUAA
rnacentral:rRNA from 1 species